rnacentral:lncRNA from 1 species
UGUUUUGUAUUUAAAUUAGUUAGGGGGCCAUAACCGCAACUUUUGGAAAGAUAGGGGUCCAAAAGUGCAAUUAAGCCUUUAUUUUAUUAUGUCAAUUAUUACUUAUAAUCAUCCUUGUCUAAACCCAUUAUUUCUUUGUAACAAUUCAUUGUACCUUUGUAAGAUGAGUAUAAUAUCAAUUCACUUAUUCUCUCAUAGAGACCUCUGUUUAUAGGCAAAAAUUGCAUGAUUCAAAUAAAUCUUCCUGGAUUUUACUAUGAUUUGAAUAACCAGGACACAGCAAGAUACAAAUUUUUGUAACAAAAAUUGCAUGAUUCAAAUCAAUCUUCCUGAAUUUUACUAUGAUUUGAAUCACAUCAACCAGGACACAACAAGAUGCAAAAUUUUGUAGGGUGAUUGGAAUCAUGCUACCCCUUAUUUGAAUCAAUCAGGCCAGAAAGUGAUUAAAACCCGAUUCAGCACCCCGAUUCAAAUAAACCUUUCACACAUGUAAUCAUGCUUCGAAUCACCACAUCCAGAAAUUAAAAGAUACGAAUUUGAAGACAUAUUCGCCAUAUUGUUAAUGGAAUACAUAUCCGUAGAAUUACUUAUUUCAUAGUUUUAAAAAUUGGGAGCUUUUUAUCCACAAAAAAGAAAAGGAACAUUAUCAUUUGGUUCAAAAAGCCUUACCUUGAAGAUUAACCUCAUAUGCAGUUGUCAUGAUUGCCGAUUUUAUAGCAGACAGAGACCAAUCUGGAUGAUAGUUUUAUCAACAGUACUGCAAUUCCACUGAGAUGAGAACAAGACAUUGAGGUACCAUUAUUAAUUAUUAAAUCAACGUCUACAGUUUUGUUCGAUUGCAAUAUCAAUCAAUAUUAUUCAAUCAUUACCUAAAUACGAUUUUCUUUAUUGAGUGAGUAAAUUAAGUACAGUGUUUGUGUAGAUGAUCUUUACUUGCUAGUAGUACUCGGUGCGAUUUGCCAAACUUGCCAAAUUAUGAAGGGUGGCAAAGGAUUCUGGAUUUCAAUACAGUACAUGAAUUUUAUAAAGUUUGUUGCCAAUUGUCAAUAGUUGCAUUGUUCCUUAAUCUGAUCAACCAUAGUGCUUAAGUUUCUGGAUCAGUUAAUAGGCAAAUAAAUUAUAAAGGAGGCAGUUGCCUGCUGAUUUUGAUGGUUCGGAAGUGUUGAUACUAUAUCAGCAAUGUUGGGUUUGUGUGUAGGUUCACUUUUACUUGAAAAAUUAUUAUUAAUCAAAGUAGCAUUAAUAAUCAUUUUACAAUUAUCUCGGUAGAAAGUUGAACUUUAUAAAUUCAGGUUAAAUGGUUGAACUGUUAUCAGUGCAGCGACACACAUGGACUUUUAUUGGUAUACCUAUGUUGUCGAUAUUUCAUUCAACAUCUCCAGUCAAAAACAUUUAUUGGUUUACAUGUAUGUAUAUAAAAAAGAUAAAUUAUUAUAACAAUAAUGCUAUUGUAUUUCCAAUAACAAAUAUAAAUACCAAGUGAAUUACCAAUAAACUUGUACAAAGGAACUUCUUAGUAAGUCAGUAUCUCAUGAAUUUCUGCAACCAAUAUAUUCUAUUCCCUUCUUUAUUUCUGAAAUAUCAUAUUAAUUUAUCGCCCUCUCCCUUUAUGUAUCACUUAAAAAUGACAGAUAUUGGGAUCCUAACAGCAUGUCUAUCAGACACCCAAGUGAGAGAGCCCUGACCAAAAGUAUGAUUCCUUCUGUUUUCCUUUAUUUGUGGUAUAAAUUCAACAGAGAAACUAACCUUCUCAUUCACCUCAGUGAAUGUUAUUUCACUUGGAUUAACACUCAUACCCAAAGCUAAAGGUACUUCAAGUUCAACUUUAUAAGUUGAAUUUGCAAACCCAACAUUAGUCAAAGUUCUAGUAUAAUACUGUGAAUCAGACCCCAACAGAAUAGAGAAAGAAGGAUAGUUCAGCUGUGCUUCUGGUAUACUUUUCACAUUAGAGCACUUCACUUUCCACUGAACAAUAACUUCAAUCUCUUUAUCAGAAUAACCCAAACCACAUAGAUAAGGAACAUAAUCUUCUGGUUCAAUAUCAUAAACAAGACCAGGAUCAUUAGCUUUAACAGGAUUAACAUGUCCUGCACCAGUAGCGAAAAUAUCAGCCGGAAAAAGCCUUUGAUCCAGUAUAGGGAUCCCGCCGAGGUUGAGAGUAUUUGCAGUUGUCAUGAUUGCCGAUUUUAUAGCGGCUGGUGACCAAUCAGGAUGAGAACUUUUGAUCAAUGCAGCAAUACCACUUAGGUGAGGACAAGACAUCGAAGUACCCGAAACAAUGUCAAAAGCUGGAAUUUUGUUGUCUACAGAAACAGCCCAUGCAGCUAGAAUGUUGACACCUGGACCAAUGAUGUCUGGUUUAAGAAUUCCUGGACUUUCUUGGCUUGGUCCUCUUGAAGAAAAGUAAACAACAGAAGGAGCUAAAGAAUCACCAAUUAUCGUUCCUUUAAAUAUCAAUGUUGCUGUCGGAUUGUAUGUUGAUUUUAUGUAAGAUUUGAUUGUUAAACCAGCUGCAUAACUCACUUCAACUGCAGGUAGAACAUGAGCAAUAGCAAAAGUACUGAAACCAAGUGCUUCUGAAUUUGCAAGUAUCAUUGCUAUACCACCUGAAUUUAGAACUUCUUGUCCUUUCACAAUACUUGAGACAUUUCCUACAUCACACAGCACUACUUUUCCGCUUAAAUCAAUGUUCUUUAAGGAUCCUGGUAAACACAAGGACUGAUUCUGUGUUUGGUUUCCAUAUCCAAAUGAACCUGGAUACACAAGUGGCAAUAGUUGUUGAGAAAAGUCUUUGGGUUGGAACAACGUUUCACCUUCAUAUUCUUCACCAUUUCCUAGCUUUGCUGAUGCUACAAUUUUUCUGUCAAUUGUGCUAGCACCAACAGUGAGGAUCCAAGGAGCUUCAUUGGAGAGAGUGCUAUAUCCAGGACCAGAGUUUGCAGCAGAGCAACUAACAAAAACACCAUUUUGAGUUGCAGCAAAAGCACCAAUUGCAAUUGGGUCUUCAAAGAAUGGAAGGGAACCUAAACCAAGUGAAAGUGAAAGAACAUCUACACCAUCUUCGAUAGCAAUAUCCAUUGCAGCUAAGAUAGCACUUUCAGUGCAUCCAAUUUUGUCAUUACACACUUUGUAUAUUGCUAAGUGGGCAUUAGGUGCCAUUCCUGCUGCUACACCUUUAGCAUUACCAAAAACACUUGCAUCUUCUAUGAAUCUUCCUGCAGCCUCGGCAGCGGUGUGUGUUCCAUGGAAGAAAUUCUCAAAUGGAGGCUCUUGAAUUGCACUUUUGACCAAGUUUCUUGCACCUAUGAGCUUAUUGUUGCAUACUUGCCCUCCGGUGAAUUCACAAUGACCUUUCCAUUUUGCAGGUGGUGGCGGCAUUCCUUCGUCGUUGAAAGAUGGAUGUAAAGGGAAUAUUCCCGUGUCUAUGAUACCAAUUAUGACGCCUUUUCCAAGAUUAUCGUCGCUCCACAAUCCUUGUCCUUGUUUCAGACCCAAGAAAGUUGGAGUGUGAGUUGUGUGUAAUUCAAGGGUCCUUUCAGGUCUUGCUGACACAAUUUCACCUUUCUCUUGAAGAGAUUUGGCUUCUUCUGGUGUUAGCUUCACAGCAAAUCCAGAGGCUACUUUGCGGUAAGAGAAAACCAUUCUUUCUUUGUGAGGAAAAGUUUGUGGAAGGAAUGAAUGGUACCAACUAUGCAAAUCUUCUGAUUGAUGAGAAGCAACAUUUUCUGAUUUUUUGACAUGAACAAUGUAUGUCAUUAAGUUUAUUUGAUCAUGUUCUAGAUUCUCCUCUGCAGCCAACAUUGAUAUGCUGCAGAGAAUGAAAAUGAGGCUAACAAGCAAUCUAAGCUCCAUCUUCAUCAUGAUUUGAAAUUUGAUGAAAAAAAAGAGAAAGUUGCUUCUGAUUUGCCUAGUGACAUGCAUAUGUAUAUAUAGGUAGAUGUAUACCAUAGAAAACAUAAUUAUAUUAAAUUGGCCAUAGUUUUUAUUUUAAUUACUUUACUACAUAGGAAAAUAAGGAAAUGCAUUGUGCUGGCUUGGGACGGCUAAUUAGUUUUCAAUGCAGGGAAAAUAGGAAUGAUUAAAAAAAAAGAAAAAGGAAUGAUAAAAGACUUUUUUGGUAAUUUGAAUAAUGCAAAUCUCAUAGUAAUGCCCGCUAUAUAUUUGGUGUUAAUUUGUAUGGAUGUGGUAUGGUGCUAACUGCUAGUAACAACUAUGAUGUACAUUGGUACAUCUAUUUUUCUGGACAUAUCUCCCCAACAUUGCCAUAUGUGAAGUUAUCCACAAAAAGACAAGUUUUAUGUUGUACAACAGAAAUGUUAAAAUUUGAUAAAUUAUUAUUAAUUAAAGUGUUAUUAAUGAAUAUUUUACAACCAUUUUUAGGGGAUUUGAACUUGUAUGUUUGCUUUCAAUUUUGGAGGAGUCAAUUAAUUCUAGAGAUCGUAGAAUUGGUUUUAUUUUAUUGGAUGAUUUAAACGAGAAUUGAUAUUGCUUGUAAAAUUUAUUUUAUUUGAAGUAUGAAUUUGUAGUUCGAGCAUUAGCUUUCAUACCAGCAAAGGAUGAUACCAAACCUGUUCUUAAGACCCAGUCACCGGUGGUGGAUGUGCCGACUCCUGUCAUUUUGGAGGCAUGCCACUCCGAGGCCAAUCAUAUCAGAAACACCUCUGUCUUCCGACCUCACUUUUCAAUAGAAUUGAUACCUCGCCAAUUCACUCUCUAUAAAUCGAAGAGGUUCCCAGAUGUAACUGGCAGAUUGCUACUUAUAUUUCAAUAAUAAUCAAGAGGAAUUUCAGUUAUGUUUUUUUUUCUUCUCUGCUCUUGUGAUUGAGAGUUCUCAUCAGUUAACACCUCUUGGUAAGCAUGAAAAAUAACUACAUCAAAGAAAAUUUAGAAACUUCGAGGGCAUGCUAUAUAUUAUGUAAUUCCACCACAAUAUAAUUGAAAUAUGGUGACAUGCAACACAGUGAAUGUAUAUUAAAAACUAAAUUCUAUAGCAGCAACAUUAUCAAGAACAAGAAUAAAUAAAAAUAAAUUAAAACGAUUCUCACUCGUCAAAUCAGAGUAGAAAUGCACAAACUAUUUAAACUAUUUUUUUCCACUUUCCACCCUCAAGUACGGUGCACCGUGUUUUGAGGUAUGGUCCAUUUUGGGUGUAAGCCCUUAUGAUUUUGUCCUUUGUAAAAGACAUCAUUGAGUUGAGGAGUGUGGGUGUUGUAUAUAAAAGAAGAAGAAAAAAUCAUUCAUAGAAAAUAAUCACACAGUAUACAAGAAUUAACGGAAAUUCAAAUAAAUCGUCAAAGAGGAACAUACUUUCAAUGAAACAAAGGUUUGAUAUAGUUCCACCGGCGUUUAGCAUUGGUAAUUCUAGCUCUCUCAACGAUGAAGAACACUUGUUCACAAUCUUCUAUCAAUUCAAACCAAACACCAACAAUAACAAACCCAAACCUGCUUUCAUGCCAGCAAAGGAUGAUACCAAACCUGUUCUUCAAGACCUGGUCAGUACUCUAUUCUCUCUCUCUCUCUCUCUCUCUCUCUCUCUCUCUCUCUCUCUCUCUCUCUCUCUCUCUCUCUCUCUCUAAUGGUUAGAGAUCACACUUUAUUCUCUCAUGUGUAAAUUACACAUGAGAGGAUCCAUUCCCAAUAAAAUCAUAUUCGGAAAGAAGAGUGUUAAAAGUGUUUGACAUUGUUGAAUUUGCAAAAAUGUUAAGUUGUUCUUCUAUUUGUCUUAAGGAUGCAGAAAGGGUUACGAGCAUUGGGAGUGGAUCAUAAUUUUGGAGAAGUGUUGAAGGGAGGACAAUGCAAGUAAGUAUGAAGAUUAUAGUUUAUGUUUGAAAGUAUGCAUAACCUACAAGCAGUUAAGUUGCAAGGUCUCUAUUCGCAUGUAGAUGUGGAAAUAGUUCAUAUCCGACUUUUGUUAAAUAGGUUAGGUCAGUUUUGAAAUGAAAUUUAGAGCUUGAGUAUGGCAUGUUAAGUGUAUGUUUGGAUGAAUGAGAGUUUGACAAAAUUACCGUGACUCACCAUGAUUCUAUCAUUCUCACCGCAAAUAUGCAAUAGAGUAUUUUUGAAGGUCUGAAUUGACUUUUUUAUACGUCUGUUUUGGUUUAUACGCACAUUUAAAACUUAUUUUACAUUAGGCGUUUACACUUUACAUAAGCCAAUUAUCCUAUACUUCUAAAUGGGAAAAUAACCUAGUGUAAUUAAGCCAAUCAUUAAUUAUGCCAAUAGACGUACAGAAAAAGUUAUCUCCUACUUCUCAAAUUAUAUCUCCACCCCUACAAAUUAUUUGAAGUACUUAAAUUAAUUUUUGAUUCUGUGGAUUUUUAAAGUUUGAGUUUGUCGGGAUAAAAACAGGUUAUGUCAAACUCAAACAACUUUGUCGAAACACGAGGGUGGGAGAUUUUUUUCUUAAAAAUCUACAGAAUUUACGAGAUUUGAUGAAUAGAGAUAAAAUUAAAUAAAGUGUGUCGACAGAAAUAGUUCAGCUCCUGCUCCCACAUAUAUUUAACAUAGAUUUACAAAUUUUAUGUACGAUUUGGUACCCCUCAAAAAAAUGUACGAUUUGGUAUUUUUACUUUGGUUAGCCUUUGGAUUUAUAGCACAAGUACUGUGUCAUACAACUCUCUUGUUUUUUGAAAGGGUGUGUCAUACAACACUUCACGUUCAAAGGAUAAUAAUAACACGAUAUACUAUUUAGUCAAAGAAAUAAAAGAACAUGUCAUACUAUUGGCCAAAGCCAAAAAGUAUAAAUUUACUUGUACAAAGAAACAUUAUAGUAACUAGUUAGUAUCUCUUGACUUUCGACCUAUAAUAUAUUCCAUUCCCUUUAUUUCUUGAACAUCAUAUCAUCACCCUCUCCAUUCAUAUAUCACUUGAAAAUGACAGAUAUCGGCACCCUAACAGCAUGUUUAUCAGACACCCAAGUGAGGGAGCCCUGACCAAAAGUUUGAUUCCUUCUGUUUUCCUUUAUUUGUGGUAUAAAUUCAACAGAGAAACUAACCUUCUCAUUCACCUCAGUGAAUGUUAUUUCACUUGGAUUAACACUCAUACCCAAAGCCAAAGGCACUUCAAGUUCAACUCUAUAUGUUGAAUUUGCAAACCCAACAUUAGUCAAAGUUCUGGUAUAAUAUUGUGAAUCUGACCCCAACAGAAUAGAAAAAGAAGGAUAAUUCAAUUGAGCUUCUGGUAUACUUUUCACAUUAGAGCACUUCACUUUCCACUGAACAAUAACUUCAAUCUCUUUAUCAGAAUAACCCAAACCACAAAGAUAAGGAACAUAAUCUUCUGGUUCAAUAUCAUAAACAAGACCAGGAUCAUUAGCUUUAAAAGGAUUAACAUGUCCUGCACCAGUAGCGAAAAUAUCAGCCGGCAAAAGCCUUUGAUCCAGUAUAGGUAUCCCGCCGAGGUUGAGAGUAUUUGCAGUUGUCAUGAUUGCUGAUUUUAUAGCGGCUGGCGACCAAUCAGGGUGAGAACUUUUGAUCAAUGCAGCAAUACCACUUAGGUGAGGACAAGACAUUGAAGUACCGGAAACAAUGUUAAAAGCUGGAAUUUUGUUGUCUACAGAAACACCCCAUGCAGCUAGAAUGUUGACACCUGGACCAAUGAUGUCUGGUUUAAGAAUUCCUGGACUUUCUUGGCUUGGUCCUCUUGAAGAAAAUGAAACAACAGAAGGAGCUAAAGAAUCACCAAUUACUGUUCCUUUGAAUAUCAAUGUUGCUGUUGGAUUGUAGGUUGAGUUUAUGUAAUCUUUGAUUGUUAAACCAGCUUUGUAACUCACUUCAACCGCAGGUAGAACAUGAGCAGUAGCAAAAGUGCUGAAACCAUCACUUUCUGAGUUUACAAGAAUCACUGCUACACCACCUGAAUUUAAAACUUCUUGUCCUUUCACAGUGCUUGGAACACGUCCUCCGAUAUCACACAACACUACUUUUCCACUUAGAUCGAUGUUCUUUAAGGAUCCUGGAAGACACAAAGACUGAUUCUGUGUCUGGUUUCCGAAUCCAAAUGAGCCUGCAUACACAAGAGGUAAUAAUUGUUCAGAAAAAUCUUUGGGUUGGAAUAAUGUUUCACCUUCAUAUUCAUUUCCAUUUCCUAGCUUUGCUGAUGCUACAAUUUUUCUAUCAAUUGUGCUUGCACCAACAGUGAGGAUCCAAGGAGCUUCAUUGGAAAGAGUGCUGUAUCCAGGACCAGAGUUUGCAGCAGAGCAACUAACAAAAACACCAUUUUGAGUAGCAGCAAAAGCACCAAUUGCAAUUGGGUCUUCAAAGAAUGGAAGAGAACCUAAACCAAGUGAAAGUGAAAGAACAUCUACACCAUCUUCAAUAGCUAUAUCUAUUGCAGCUAAGACAGAACUUUCAAAGCAUCGAAUGUUAUCAUCACAAACUUUGUACAUUGCUAUGUGAGCAUUAGGUGCCAUACCAGCUGCUACACCUUUAGCAUUACCAAAAACACUUGCAUCUUCUACGAAUCUUCCUGCAGCCUCUGCAGCAGUGUGAGUUCCGUGGAAGAAAUUCUCAAACGGAGGCUCUUGAAUUGCAUUUUUUACCAUGUUUCUUGCUCCUAUGAGCUUAUUGUUGCAUACUUGCCCUCCGGUGAAUUCACAAUGGCCUUUCCAUUUUGCAGGUGGUGGCGGCAUUCCUUCGUCGUUGAAAGAUGGAUGUAAAGGGAAUAUUCCCGAGUCUAUGAUACCAAUUAUGACGCCUUUUCCAAGGUUAUCGUCGCUCCACAAUCCUUGUCCUUGUUUCAGACCCAAGAAUGUUGGAGUGUGAGUUGUAUGUAAUUCAAGGGUCCUUUCAGGUCUUGCUGACACAAUUUCACCUUUCUCUUGAAGAGAUUUGGCUUCUUCUGGUGUUAGCUUCACAGCAAAUCCAGAGGCUACUUUGCGGUAAGAGAAAACCAUUCUUUCUUUGUGAGGAAAAGUUUGUGGAAGGAAUGAAUGGUACCAACUAUGCAAAUCUUCUGAUUGAAGAGAAGCAACAUUUUCUGAUUUUUUGACAUGAACAAUGUAUGUCAUUAAGUUUAUUUGAUCAUGUUCUAGAUUCUCCUCUGCAAUCAACAUUGAUGUAAUUUGGUUGAUACUGCAUAUAAUGAAAAUGAGGCUAACAAGUAGUGUAAGCUCCAUCUUCAUCAUGAUUUGGAAUUUGAUGAAAAAAAGAGAAAGUUGCUUGUGAUUUGCCUAGUGACAUGCAUGUGUAUAUAUAGAUAGAAUGUUUGUGUGAUAUCCAAUUGGCCAUAGUUUUUAUUUUAAUUACUUAUUACAUAGGAAAACAAGGAAAUGCAUUGUGCUGGCUUGGGACGGCUAAUUAGUCUUCAAUGAAUGAUAAAUAGGAAUGAUAAAAGAUUUUUUUUUUUGGCAAUUUGAUAAAGCAAAUCUCAUAGUAAUGCCCGCUAAAUAUUGUGUUAAUAUGUAUGGAUUUGGUCUGGUGCCAACUGCUAAUAACAGCUAUACAGUAAAUAAUACAUUGGUAAUAUAUUUUUCUGGACAUAUCUCCCUAACGUUCACAUAUGUUUUUUUAGCUUGGAAUGGUUAUCAACAAAAAGACAGUUUUAUAUUGUAUUGGAGAAAUUCAAAAAUUUGAUAAAUUAUUAUUAAUAAAUGGUUUCAAUGUUGGGGAUUUGAACUUUGUGUAUGUUUGGUUUCAAUUUUAGAGCGGUCAAAAUUGAUUUCUAAAGGCCGUAGAUUAUAUUUUAUCAUGUUUGAAAGAUUUAAAGGAGAAUUGAUUUUGCUUGUAGAAAACAUGAGGUGGUGGUGAAGAAAACGCAAACCUAAACAUAUGCUUAGUUUUUGUUAAUAGUCGACAUAGUCUCAGUUUGUCAGCGUAAAAUAUUCGAAGAAAACUUAUAAUAUAAACAAGAUGAACAUGCAAUCAAACUAUAAAAAUACUAAUAUGCAACCAAAUUCAAAAAUAUUUUUAGUACUAUAAUUGGAGCAAUUGUGGCUACAAUAAGCCUCUUUCUUCUUUUCUUUCUUCAUAUAAUUUCCUCAUCCAGCCAAGCCACCUACCGUCAAUAACACUGAUGUCUUUGAAGUUGGGAUUGCAGAUCUGCAGUUCAAAAAGGACUUGUGUUAGAUGGAAGAGUGAAAUAUCAAAACACAACUAAAUCAAAAGCAAGAAGUUGCAUAAUGCUCAAAAGGGAAGGCAGCCAUAUCCUACUAUGAACAGAGAAAUAAAUUAGAUUCAACAAUGAUAAUAAGAGCAUGUACCACAAAACACAUAGAGAUGGCAAAUUUUAACUAACAAGAAUAAAAAUAAAUUAAAACGAUUCUUGCUCAACAAAUCAGUGUAGACAUGCACGAACUAGUUAAACUAUUCUCUUCCACCCUCAAGUACGGCACACCGUGUUUUGAGGUAAUGUCCGUUUUGAGUGUAAGCUCAUCAUACAGUUUUGUCCUUUAUAAAAGACAUCUCAUAGAAAAUAAUCAUAUAAAAUCCAUCAUAGAAAAUAAUCACACAACAUACAAGAAUUAACAGAAAUUCAAAUAAAUCAAUUGGGUUUUCUUGACAACGUGGGAAAAGCAGAGGCAAUCCAUCAAAACACAUAGAGAUGGCUCAAAACAUGGCACUUGAUCAAAACCUUGAGGAAGAAGCAACUCUUUGUAUGUCUGUUUACUCAGAUAAAGUGAAAUAAUCACAUAUUGCUCAAAAGGAAUAUUCUUGCAAUCAUAACGGUGGUAGUUGCGAAGAGUUGCCAACCAAUUAACAUUACCACUCAAAUGCACACUCCAAUUUAGGCGAUGAUAGAGAGGAAAUCUUUGAAUAGUUUUCCAAACAUUAUCGCGGAAACUAAAAACUCUUGCCUCUGGUUCUAAGGCAACUACCUUAUAAGUAUCCAUUGAAUUAUCAUAACCAAAUGUCAACCGGUAAGGUAACACGGGAUUAUGGCAAUGCCCUAAUUUAUCCGAUAUGGUCCUUGUAGCAGGGUUCCAGAAACGGAGCCACGACUCUCUUAUAUAGUUAUAAGAAUAACCGAACAAACAUAUUAAUCCGUUACAGGAACCAAUAACCGAUGGACAAUCUUUAUCCUUCAAAUUAUAGUAAGGAUCUUCGGUAAGGGUGAUCGAAUUUGAUGGACUCUCCAGCAAACGACUCAAGGAGAUUGGUACAACACUGCUAUGCUCUGUAGGUCGUGUACGUCUAGAUGCAUGCAAGUGUGAGGUGAGGGUUUCGCGUAGAUCGUUGAAGGUGCAACUUGACAAAGAAAGGAUCGGAUAUGAAGGCAUUCCAAGAUUUACAGCAGCACUUCAUUCGCAUCAGAGAUUUUUCACAGGAAGGAAAGAAAGCACUUCUGUGAUAAGUUCUACAGGGAGGAUUAUCGGCGAUGACACAGCGUACCGACACUGCGAUUUCGGUGGUGGGAGAUUCAUGAGAGAGGCGUUGUCUAUGGAAGAAAAAAUUGCUAUUUAGAGGUAAUCUUACCAAUUAAUCACGACAUGUAUGUAUUUAAUAAGAAUAAGGGUGCGUUUAGUCUGACUUUUUUAAGGUCUAAAAGUCAUUUUAAAGCUCAAGUUGUAAAAAAAGAACUUUAGAAUUAAAGUUGAAGUCGUUUGGUAAUAACUGUCAUUUUAGCUAAAAGCUAUUUCAAAAAGUUACUAAAUUAUUUUUUUAGAGAAAGAGUUGCAAAUUAUUCGGUUAAGUGUUAAAAAAUAAAACAUUGAAUAAAACAUUGAUUGUUGUCAUGCUAUUUUUUUAAUUAAUAUUUUUUCGUAUCAUCAUAUAAAUGAAUGAUUAUAUUAAAAAUAAAGAUCAAUUUAUUUGUUCGUAAAAUCUAAUUCAAUUGACAAUUUUGAUGUUAUUAGGUUGAACACCUUCACUUCAGUUUGAAUUUAGAUCAUUGUGGUUGUGUAUGUGAGUUGGAUGUGAUGUUUUGUUUCGUCUAUGGAGAAGACAAACUCGAUUCUUUUUUAAAAUAACAUUAUUUACGUUAAUUGUAAAUAGAAUGAAUAAAAUGUAUAUAUUGUUUUUUUUAAAAGAAAAAUGUAUAUAUUGUUGUAUUUUAGAGUAUAUUUAUUUCUGUAAAAAAAUAAAAGAAAGAGUAUUUAUGUAUUGAAUUAGUUUCCUAUCUCUUUUCCACCGUCUCUCAAGUUUUUAUUGCUUUUUUUUUUUGGGAGAAUUUUGUUGUUUGGUUUAAUUUAUUAUAUAUCUGUUUUUGGUUAUAAAAAUGGCCUGAGGCAAACGAACAAACUUUGAUAGGUGAAAUAAAAUUUUGAAAAAUAAAAAUGAAGUGGCCAGUAGGAAUCGAACGGGAUAACAUUAAAGAAAGCAUCGAAAAGCCAGUUUAAAAGUAAGUUUCAACAACUUCUCCUUUUGUUCAAUUUUGCACACAAUAUAGAAGUUCCUUAAUUAGUUAAGAGCUUUGUGCAAAUUUUGUUUGGCCCUCCUUUUCCUUUUAAGGAGAAGAGAAUAAGAAAAAGAGUCAGGCCAAACGCACCCUAAGAAUAACUAGGCAGCAUAUUGUAUGGGAUUUUUUGUUUUUGUUAGGGGAGCCUUUUUUUAUGAUAGGUGUUUGCAAAACUUGAAAUGGAUAGUAUAUUUGAUUAAUAAGAAGAAGAAAAAAAAACAUAAUAUUUGUUCUACAUUUUAUUUUCAUGAGCUGAACACAGUUAUGUAUUUGUGAUAGGAUUAUGGAUGCUAGAAUAAUGAAUCUUUUAGUUUAUUUUAAAAUAGGAUCUUUUAAGCAUAUUCUAUUAAUUUGUUUGAUAGUAUUGUUAUUGUGUAGUUGAUGUACUUAUCUUACUAUGUGUAUGCAUUAACCUAUAUAUGUAUUGUAUUAUCUCAUUAGAAAUGAACGAAGAAAAAUGAAUGAAAAGUUAUUUUAUCUUAUCUUAGUUUUUAUUCUUCUUUAUCCUUUUAACUUAAAACCUUAGUUUUAUCAUAGUUUGUUAUUGAUAGCUUUUGGUUUCUAAUAAUUUGUGUCAAUAUAAAUUUUACUUAUAUUUGUGUCUACAUAUGAUUUUGCUAUACAUAGAAACCCAUAAUAAAAUGAAUUGAAUUAUUGAUUAUUUUAUCACUAUUCAAAACAAGUAACAACUAACAACAAUUAAAUAUAAUCAAAAUCCUUAAAAAAAAAAUUUUUUUUUUUUUAAGAAUAGUUAAAUUUCAUAUUUGUGUGCGUGGUGCAGUUUGUCAUAUUUGUGAUGUUCGCAAUCUUCAAUGAAACUAAACAUCAGCAAUAACAAACCCAAACCUGUUCUUCAAGACAUGCUCAGUACUCUCUUCUCUCUCUCUCUCUCUCUCUAGCAUUGCAUUGUAUGAUUCUGAUUUUUAUAAGCUUUAUUUACUUCUGUGACAGAUUCUGAGGUCUGUUACCUCCCUCCAUUCUCAAUCCCCAAAUCAUCUUCCUCAUCUCAAAUCUCCUAAAUCUUGUUAUUUCACAAACCCAUCUCUUAAAGAUGCCAUUUUUUUUUGUUUUUUUUCUUUUUUUACUGAAUUUUAGCACUGUUAGCUGUUACCCUGUUAAAUUGCACUAGGUAGUUAGGUCUUGUUUGGAUAAACUUUUUAAUUUAGAGAUUAUCAUAUAAGUGUUUUAUCUAUAAGCUAUUUCUAUUACAAAAGACAAAAUAGAAUCAAACCAUUUUCAUAUAAGCUGUUUUCAUAAGCUAUCCUAAAGAGCUUAUGAAAAUAUGCUGAACACAACUUAUGAAUAUUAUAAGCUGUUUCAAUAAACUCUUUCAAAUAAUCUCACAAGAGAUAAACUCAAAUAAGUCAAUCGAAACAAGCCUAGUUGGUAGUUGAACAUCUAGCAUGGAGUUUCCUGUUGCAAAGUUUAGGGUGGUCUCAACAGACAUGAAUAACUCUUUAGCUUGUGAACAAUUAGUUGUGUGAAUACACACUUUGAUAGUUCUUUUUACUGUGGAGUUUGUACAAGUUUAGAAUGGAAUGAUGGAAUACUUUGUUAUCAUAUCCAAUCCAAGAUUUUUAACUGCUUACAUAGAUACUUUAAAUUUCUGUACAUUUGCUUUGCACCUUGAAAAUUCAUCUCACAGAAGUUAUGCUAGGCUUGAAUGUUGAAUGAGUUCUUUUACUGUCAAAUAGUAGUUGCUCAAGAAUAACGAGUCACAAUUUAUAGCACUUUAGCUCCUCUUUUGGUUAGUCAGAUUGAAAAUUUAGAAUGCACAUUGUGUGUAUAGAAUUAUGUACUUUAUCUACUGCUACUUUUGGGACAUGACAUUGCUACCAUCGAAACUCUUUUAAACUUCAAAGAUGCCAUGGUACUGUUUUUUUUUUUUUUUUUGCUCAUGUAGGAUGUUUCACAGUGAUCUGUCAUGUGUGGAAGUUGUUACAAUGAGUGCCUUUAGGCUAUCCAACUUUAACAUUCUCUUCAACUGCAAUUAUCAAUGUUUUGAUGACUGUGUAAAGUAAAGUUAGCCUUAGGUUUGAAGCUUCAUUGAUUGAACAUGUACCUAAAAAUUUGGUCAAGUUCUUUGUAUGAUUGCUAACUUGUGAGUGGAAUUUGGCUUCUCCAUUUUGCAUAUUACGGCAAUCACUUCAGAUCAGAUAAGUCCCUGCAAAUUAAUAUCUUGCAAGGUCUAAAUAACUAGCUGGUGGAAAUGAAUGAAUUGUAUCCAUUCAUCAUCCCCUUCUUAUAGAUUUGGGAAUGAACAAUUUAUGUUUCAAAGUAAAAGCAUAGAGUUUCUCAUAUUGAUAUAUUUUUAAUAAUUAUUGUGAUAGAAGCUUUAAACACAUUUAACAUAGAAAAUAUGGAAGGCAGAGGAAUGAAAUCGAGAAUGGAUGGAUCCUCUCAUAUGUGUAAUUUACACAUUAGAGAGUAAAGUGUAAUCUUUCAUCCUAACACAUCAUCACACUUAUUCUCUCAUGUGUAAAUUACACAUGAGAGGAUCCAUUCCCAGUAAAAUCAUAUUCGGAAGGAAGAGUGUUAAAAAUGCUUAACAUCAUUGAAUUUGAAAGAUGUUAAGUUGUUCUUUGAUUCGUCUUAAGGAUGCAGGAAGGAGUAGAGCAGUGGGAGUGGAUCAUGAUUUUGGAGAAUGGUUGCAGGGAGGACAAAACAAUGGCGAGUGUGAAGAUUAUAGUUUAUGUUUGAAAGUCUGCAUAACCUACAAGCAGUUAAGUUACAACGUCUCUAUUGGCCAAUAGACUUACAGGAAAAGGUAUCUCCUACUUCUCAAAUUAUAUCUCUAGCCCCACAAAUUAUUUGCAGUACCUAAAUAAAUUUUCGAUUCUGUAGAUUUUUAAAGUUUGAGUUUGUCGUGAUAAAAACAGGUUAUGGCAAACUCAAACAACUAUGUCGAAACACAAUGAAGGUAGGAAAUUUUUAUUUCUUAAAAAUCUACAGAAUUUACAAGAUUUGCGGAAAACUAGGAAUAGAGGUAAAAUUUAAGGGGUAUAGAGUUAAAUAAAGUGUGUCGACACAAAUUGUUCAGCUCCUGCUCCCACAUAUAUUUAACAUAGAUUUACAAAUUUAAUACAGGAUUUGGUACUUUACUUUGGUUAGCCUUUGGAUUUAUAGCACAAGUAUUGUGUCAUAGAACUCUACGCGUUCAAAGGAUAAUAAUAACAUGACAUACUAUUGGCCAGUGACAAAAAUUAUAAAAUUACUUGUAUAAAGAAACAUGGUAGUAUUUAGUUAGUAUCUCUUGAAUUUCCCCAACAAAUAUAUUUCAUUCCCUUUAUUUCUUGAACAUCAUAUAGUCACCCUCUCCCUUCAUAUAUCACUUGAAAAUAACAGAUAUUGGUAUCCUAACAGCAUGUUUAUCAGAAACCCAAGUGAGAGAACCCUGAGCAUAAGUAUUGUUCCCUCUACUUUCCUUAGUUUUUGGUAUAAAAUCGACCGAAUAACUAACCUUCUCAUCGACCUCACUAAAUGUUAUUUCACUAGGAUUAACACUCAUACCAAAAGCCAAAGGGACUUCAAGUUCAACUCUAUAGGUAGAAUUUGCCAACCCAACAUUAGUCAAAGUUCUUGUAUAAUACUGUGAAUCUGAUCCCAACAGAAUAGAAAAAGAAGGAUAACUCAGUUGAGCUUCUGGUAUACUUUUCACAUUAGAGCAGUUCACUACCCACUGAGCAAUAAGUUCAAUCUCUUGAUCAGUAUAACCCAAACCACACAGAUAAGGAACGUAAUCUUCUGGUUGAAUAUCAUAAACAAGACCAGGAUCAUUAGCUUUAACAGGAUUAACAUGUCCUGCACCAGUAGCAAAAACAUCAGCAGGUGAAAGUCUUUGAUCCAAUAUAGGAAUCCCGCCGAGGUUGAGAGUAUUAGCAGUUGUCAUGAUUGCUGAUUUUAUUGCAGCUGGCGACCAAUCAGGAUGAGAACUUUUGAUCAAUGCAGCAAUGCCACUGAGAUGAGGACAAGACAUUGAAGUGCCAGAAGUAAUGGCAAAAGGUGGAGUCUUGUUGUCAAUUGAAACAGGCCAUGCAGCUAGAAUGUUGACACCUGGACCAAUGAUGUCUGGUUUAAGAAUUCCAGGACUUUGUUGGCUUGGUCCUCUUGAAGAAAAUGAAACAACAGAAGGAGCUAAAGAAUCACCAAUUACUGUUCCUUUGAAUAACAAUGUUGCUGUUGGAUUGUAGGUUGAGUUAAUGUAAUCUUUGAUUGUUAAACCAGCUGCAUAACUCACUUCAACUGCUGGCAGAACAUGAGCAGUAGCAAAAGUGCUGAAACCAUCACUUUCUGAGUUUACAAGAAUCACUGCUACACCAUUUGCAUUUAGAACUUCUUGUCCUUUCACAAAGGUUGAAACAUCUUCACCUAUAUCACACAACACAACUUUUCCACUUAGAUCAAUAUUCUUUAGGGAGCCUGGAAGACACAAUGACUGAUUUUGUGUUUGGUUUCCAUAUCCCAAUGAACCUGCAUACACAAGUGGAAAUAAUUGUUGAGGAAAAUCCUUAGGUUGGAAUAAUGUUUCACCCUCAUAUUCCUCUCCAUUUCCUAGUUUUGCUGAUGCUACUAUUUUUCUGUCAAUUGUGCUUGCACCUACAGUGAGGAUCCAAGGAGCUUCAUUGGAGAGAGUGCUGUAUUCAGGGCCAGAGUUUGCGGCAGAGCAGCUAACAAAAAUACCAUUUUGAGUAGCAGCAAAAGCACCAAUUGCAAUUGGGUCUUCAAAGAAUGGAAGAGAACCUAAACCAAGUGAAAGUGACAGAACAUCUACACCAUCUUCAAUAGCUAUAUCCAUUGCAGCUAAGAUAGCACUUUCGGGGCAUUCUAUUUUAUCAUUGCACACUUUGUAUAUUGCUAAGUGAGCAUUAGGUGCCAUACCAGCUGCUACACCUUUAGCAUUACCAAAAACACUUGCAUCUUUUAUGAAUCUUCCUGCAGCCUCCGCAGCAGUGUGCGUUCCAUGGAAAAUGUUUUCAAAUGGAGGCUCUUGAAUCGUACUUUUGACUAAACUUCUUGCACCAAUGAGCUUAUUGUUGCAUAUUUUCAUUCCAUUGAAUUCACAAUGGCCUUUCCAUUUUGCAGGUGGCGGCGGCAUUCCUUCGUCAUUGAAUGAUGGAUGAGAAGGGAAUAUUCCUGAGUCUAUGACUCCAAUUAUGACACCUUUUCCAAGGUUAUCAUCAUUCCACAACCCCUGUCCAUGCUUCAGACCCAAGAAAGUUGGACUGUGAGUUGUGUGUAAUGAAAGUGUCCUUUCAGGUCUUGCUAACAAAAUUCCAUCUUUCUCUUGAAGAGAUUUGGCUUCUUCUGGUGUCAGCUUCACAGCAAAUCCAGAGGCUACAUGGCGGUAUGAGAAAACCAUUCUGUCCUUGUGAGGAAAAUUUU